AAUGUUCUCCUUCUCAACCAGCAGGAAUAUAACUUCACCAAUAUCUAUGCAUAUCGAGAUAUUUCUUCAUAAUGAAGUGUCCUCGACCCGACUGCAUGGAUAUAAAACUUCGCAAAGUAUCAUCAAUUCCAGAGAAUUAGUGUAACGACAGCAUCAAGCGCAAUAUAAGCGUCAUUUAUCAUGUCCCCUUGCGCCACAAAGGACAGAAUAGAUGGAAUUGACACCCGUAUUUUUCAGUCGGCAAUUUCAAUGUUCAUAGAGGGAUAGUAUAUUUUCAUUCAACUUCAUUUCCAUUGAAAAUUUGUCAAGUGGAGUGACAUAUAUAUAAGAGAUGCGAAAAUAUUGUUUUUGUUCUCUCUAAUCAACUGGCCAAACCGACUGUUAUUUGUGAAAUUAUUGAAGUUUUACCCUUCCAAUUGAUGUCUGAUGGUUUCAAUUUCAUUGAUGUGGUUCAUUUCCGGGUUACCCUUAAUCUACCGCAAUUUUUCGGCUACCUUCCGCUGGGAAUUGUGGUGUUUCAUCCCGAUAUCACUGGUGAAAUCUUCAGUUUGGCAACCCAGUGAUCUCUGCCAAAUACACCUUCCCACUCCAUCGUGGAGAGGUGACUCUGCUGUAAUGUGGCAGCCAUUAUAAUCCCGCUGGGGCCGCACUAGAGGGUUGAGGGCAGAAAGAGUCACAACAGAUAUUUUGAUCGCAUUUAUCGCAAAAAACUAUAAAAUCAUCAAUGGUAGUGAGUUUGGAAAUGAGCCUUACAAAAUUAUCGCCUGAAAAAUCAGAAUACAGGGUUAAUUUGGCUUACUUGAAGCAAAUAUCUGAAACUAUCAAAUCCUUUACCUUGUGGAUUAUGGAAUGUAUAUAAAGCCAUUUUCCCACAGGUUAGUACAUUCUAUAAAAUGAGGAAUGUUUGUUAUAAAGCAAGUAAGUCACAUGUCUUCCCCAGCGAGAAAAUCAACAAAUUCAUUAAGGAAGUAGAUAAUAAAAAUAUAUGUUAUUUUAACAACAUAUUUCAAUAGCAGGAUGAUAAAA